rnacentral:rRNA from 1 species
UACGGAGGGUGCAAGCGUUAAUCGGAAUUACUGGGCGUAAAGCGUGCGUAGGUGGUUAUUUAAGUCAGAUGUGAAAGCCCUGGGCUCAACCUGGGAACGGCAUUUGAUACUGGGUAACUCGAGUUUGGGAGAGGCAAGUGGAAUUUCAGGUGUAGCGGUGAAAUGCGUAGAGAUCUGAAGGAACACCAGUGGCGAAGGCGACUUGCUGGCCUAAAACUGACGCUGAGGCACGAAAGCAUGGGUAGCAAACAGG